AUGAACGCUAGCUACAGGCUUAACACAUGCAAGUCGAGGGGCAUCAGGAAGAAAGCUUGCUUUCUUUGCUGGCGACCGGCGCACGGGUGAGUAACACGUAUCCAACCUGCCCUUUACUCGGGGAUAGCCUUUCGAAAGAAAGAUUAAUACCCGAUAGUAUAAUGAUUCCGCAUGGUUUCAUUAUUAAAGGAUUCCGGUAAAGGAUGGGGAUGCGUUCCAUUAGGUUGUUGGUGAGGUAACGGCCCACCAAGCCUUCGAUGGAUAGGGGUUCUGAGAGGAAGGUCCCCCACAUUGGAACUGAGACACGGUCCAAACUCCUACGGGAGGCAGCAGUGAGGAAUAUUGGUCAAUGGGCGCUAGCCUGAACCAGCCAAGUAGCGUGAAGGAUGAAGGCUCUAUGGGUCGUAAACUUCUUUUAUAUAAGAAUAAAGUGCAGUAUGUAUACUGUUUUGUAUGUAUUAUAUGAAUAAGGAUCGGCUAACUCCGUGCCAGCAGCCGCGGUAAUACGGAGGAUCCGAGCGUUAUCCGGAUUUAUUGGGUUUAAAGGGAGCGUAGGUGGACUGGUAAGUCAGUUGUGAAAGUUUGCGGCUCAACCGUAAAAUUGCAGUUGAUACUGUCAGUCUUGAGUACAGUAGAGGUGGGCGGAAUUCGUGGUGUAGCGGUGAAAUGCUUAGAUAUCACGAAGAACUCCGAUUGCGAAGGCAGCUCACUGGACUGCAACUGACACUGAUGCUCGAAAGUGUGGGUAUCAAACAGGAUUAGAUACCCUGGUAGUCCACACAGUAAACGAUGAAUACUCGCUGUUUGCGAUAUACAGUAAGCGGCCAAGCGAAAGCAUUAAGUAUUCCACCUGGGGAGUACGCCGGCAACGGUGAAACUCAAAGGAAUUGACGGGGGCCCGCACAAGCGGAGGAACAUGUGGUUUAAUUCGAUGAUACGCGAGGAACCUUACCCGGGCUUAAAUUGCAGUGGAAUGAUGUGGAAACAUGUCAGUGAGCAAUCACCGCUGUGAAGGUGCUGCAUGGUUGUCGUCAGCUCGUGCCGUGAGGUGUCGGCUUAAGUGCCAUAACGAGCGCAACCCUUAUCUUUAGUUACUAACAGGUUAUGCUGAGGACUCUAGAGAGACUGCCGUCGUAAGAUGUGAGGAAGGUGGGGAUGACGUCAAAUCAGCACGGCCCUUACGUCCGGGGCUACACACGUGUUACAAUGGGGGGUACAGAAGGCAGCUAGCGGGUGACCGUAUGCUAAUCCCAAAAGCCUCUCUCAGUUCGGAUCGAAGUCUGCAACCCGACUUCGUGAAGCUGGAUUCGCUAGUAAUCGCGCAUCAGCCACGGCGCGGUGAAUACGUUCCCGGGCCUUGUACACACCGCCCGUCAAGCCAUGGGAGCCGGGGGUACCUGAAGUACGUAACCGCAAGGAUCGUCCUAGGGUAAAACUGG
rnacentral:rRNA from 1 species